rnacentral:rRNA from 1 species
GACGAACCGUGCGAACGUUGUUCGGAAUCACUGGGCUUAAAGGGCGCGUAGGCGGAUUGCUAAGUCAGGGGUGAAAUCCUGGAGCUCAACUCCAGAACUGCCUUUGAUACUGGUGAUCUUGAGUCCGGGAGAGGUGAGUGGAACUCCGAGUGUAGAGGUGAAAUUCGUAGAUAUUCGGAAGAACACCAGUGGCGAAGGCGGCUCACUGGCCCGGUACUGACGCUGAGGUGCGAAAGCGUGGGGAGCGAACAGG